rnacentral:rRNA from 1 species
AUUGAACGCUGGCGGCAUGCUUUACACAUGCAAGUCGAACGGUAACAGGCCGCAAGGUGCUGACGAGUGGCGAACGGGUGAGUAAUGCAUCGGAACGUGCCCAGUCGUGGGGGAUAACGCAGCGAAAGCUGUGCUAAUACCGCAUACGAUCUAUGGAUGAAAGCGGGGGACCGUAAGGCCUCGCGCGAUUGGAGCGGCAGAUGUCAGAUUAGGUAGUUGGUGGGGUAAAGGCCUACCAAGCCGACGAUCUGUAACUGGUCUGAGAGGACGACCAGCCACACUGGGACUGAGACACGGCCCAGACUCCUACGGGAGGCAGCAGUGGGGAAUUUUGGACAAUGGGCGCAAGCCUGAUCCAGCAAUGCCGCGUGCAGGAAGAAGGCCUUCGGGUUGUAAACUGCUUUUGUACGGAACGAAACGGUCUGGGUUAAUACCCUGGGCUAAUGACGGUACCGUAAGAAUAAGCACCGGCUAACUACGUGCCAGCCGCCGCCGUAACAC